GGUACAUGUAAAGUACAAGGGAGUGCGGAAAUAAAAGGUCUCAUUGUCAGGUAGCCCAAGAGAAAGCCAUGUGUGUGCAAUUGUGUACUAAACUAGAAAGCAUGCAAAAUUAUCCUAUUUCUAACACUAGGGGUACAAUCGUCAUUUCACCAUUUAUGGAUUAAUAUUGAAUUAUUUCUAUUUUUAAGUAAGUUCUAAUUAAAGCAAUUAAAUCUUAAACUAAUUUUAAUAUUUCUAAAUCCUAGAUUAAUCUAAAUUUAAUACUCCUAAUUAAACUCUAGAAUUUUUUUAUUUUUUUUAAUCCUAACUCUAAAUUAAAAAAAAUCUAAUAAUAUUCCUAAUAUCUUCUAAACUUAAUUCUAAAAUUCUAAUUAACUAAUCCUAAAAUUAAUAUUUCUAAUUAUCUAAUUACCUAAUUACCUAAACUAAUCCUAAUAUCAAUUAAUUCUAAUAAUAUUUCUAUUAUCCAAUUAAAAUCUAAUUAUCCUAAGUUUAUGGAUCUAAUUAACUCAUGAGCAAUUAUCUAAGCAAAGGAAUUGAGUGGGGGUGCAGGAUAAUGGAGUGAUUCGUUUGGGCCUUCCACACCGUCGAUGGUCCAAACUCCACAAACUCAACUCAUCUCCACACGAACUCGCCCUAAAGCACACGGAUACGGCGGAAUGGGAAGACGCGGCUUCUACUCCGAGCACGGCGGCGUUUUGCGAUAUCGUCUUCCACCUCAUGGCUUCAUCUUCUUCAACGAUGAAUCAAAUAAAACUCCAAAAUCAAACUCGAUUGUUCGAUUUGAUUGGCCUGCGGACGCACGGAAAUGAAUGCGAAACUGAAAAAAGAGGAUCGCUGGAUUGAAGCUCGAUUGAGGAUAGGUGUCUUGAUUCUAACAAGUUUAUCUUCUUCUUCUAACACUCCUGGCAAUUGUUACGACGUCGUCGUUGAGGAAUGGAGAACGCGACUCGUUUCCUUUAUCAGUUUUCAGAUUCACAGGUUCACAUCGCCAAAUAACACUCGAUCUGCUAUGGUAUGAACAAGCGGAAGUAGAAGCGACACCGAAGGUGGAUUGAAGGCUUACCGUACGGUACAGGUGUCGAAUCUUUCGCCGGAUUUUCGAUCGAUUCUUCGUUCUCUUCUCUACUUCUGUUCGUUUUGCUGUGGAUUGAAGAUUUGGUUUCGCGGUUCGAUGAAGAUUGGUGCGGUCUGUUGUGAUUUCGCGUGCGAGAGAGAUGGUCUUGGUUAGAGGAGUUUUUUAUAGGUUCUGUAAGAAUUGCAGGGCGAUGGUUUGGAAUAUGUAUUAGAGAUUGAAGGCGGUUCUUGACGUUGAUAAUGAAGUUUAUUAGAGUUUGGAGAGAGGGAAGAAGAAGAAGAAUCUGGAACAAGCUUGAGAUAGAGUUGUGAGAGGGAGGUUAGAAGUUUGUUAGGAAGAAAAUUCUGUUAUUCGAUUUGUUAUUUUUUCUGUGAAAUUAUGCAGGUUAAUUCCGUUCGCGUUUUGGAGCUGGUGCGAGUUUUAGCAUUGGCUCGCGUCAUUUGCAGCAUUCGGAAGUUGUGUUUGCAGCUUAUGCAGCUUAUACCGUUGGUUUGUGUACUUGCGUUUCGCGUUUUACUUAUUGUUGGAGCCGCUGCUUAUUGUGUAGCUUGUGUUGCCGCUUAAACCGUAGCAGCUUCUGGAAGCGUGUUGGCUAGCUUGCAAGUUGUGUCGGCUACUAAGCUUAUGCAAUUUCAUUUCCUUGUAUCGUAUUUCACCUCCUUAUCACCUCCUUAUCAUUCUUCUUUUUAUUACUUAAUGGAAAAAAAUGGUUAUGGAUUA